UACCAGCUCUCCGAGUUGUAGGGAUGAUUAUUGGGCUUAAAGUGUCCGUAGCUGGCUUAGCAAGUCUCCUGUUAAAUUCAGCGACCUAAUCGUUGAGCCGCGGGAGAUACUACUAGGCUAGGAGGCGGGAGAGGUCGACGGUACUUUCGGGGUAGGGGUGAAAUCCUAUAAUCCCGGGAGGACCACCAGUGGCGAAGGCUGUCGACUAGAACGCGCUCGACGGUGAGGGACGAAAGCUGGGGGAGCGAACCGGAUUAGAUACCCGGGUAGUCCCAGCUGUAAACUAUGCGGGCUAGGUGUUGGGGUGGCUACGGGCCACUUCAGUGCCGCAGGAAAGCCAUUAAGCCCGCCGCCUGGGGAGUACGGCCGCAAGGCUGAAACUUAAAGGAAUUGGCGGGGGAGCACCACAAGGCGUGAAGCUUGCGGUUC
rnacentral:rRNA from 1 species